CAGGCCUAACACAUGCAAGUCGAACGGUAGCACAGAGAGCUUGCUCUCGGGUGACGAGUGGCGGACGGGUGAGUAAUGUCUGGGAAACUGCCUGAUGGAGGGGGAUAACUACUGGAAACGGUAGCUAAUACCGCAUAACGUCUUCGGACCAAAGAGGGGGACCUUCGGGCCUCUUGCCAUCGGAUGUGCCCAGAUGGGAUUAGCUAGUAGGUGGGGUAACGGCUCACCUAGGCGACGAUCCCUAGCUGGUCUGAGAGGAUGACCAGCCACACUGGAACUGAGACACGGUCCAGACUCCUACGGGAGGCAGCAGUGGGGAAUAUUGCACAAUGGGCGCAAGCCUGAUGCAGCCAUGCCGCGUGUAUGAAGAAGGCCUUCGGGUUGUAAAGUACUUUCAGCGGGGAGGAAGGGAGUGAGGUUAAUAACCUCAUUCAUUGACGUUACCCGCAGAAGAAGCACCGGCUAACUCCGUGCCAGCAGCCGCGGUAAU
rnacentral:rRNA from 1 species